GUCCCAGGGUUACAAACAUCCCCAGGCACGUAGCCAGAAAAAAAAUCGGGAGAAGUUGAAACCUCCCCCCCCCCCCCCCCAGAUGACUUUUGAGGCCAGCGUCUCCUGAUCUGGCACCAGAUCUCAACAAGGCCCUGAAAUCACCACCAUUGUGCAGAUUCUUCACAGCUUCUGCUUAAAAUCCUGCAAAGAAGGAGCCUCCACCACAGUCUGGGGCAAAGAGUUCCACUGCCGAACAGCUCUCACAGUGAGGAAGUUCUUCCUAAUGUUCAGACUUCUGCAAUUACAGAGAAUAAAUAUAUCAGGAACAGACCAGCGGCAGCAACUCUUCCACAAAGGCUAUAUUGUUUCAACCCUUUAAUAAAAUGUAUCCUUCUAUUUCAA